UACGUAGGGUGCAAGCGUUGUUCGGAAUUAUUGGGCGUAAAGAGCUCGUAGGCGGUUUGUUGAGUCUGCUGUGAAAACCCGAGGCUCAACCUCGGGCCUGCAGUGGAUACGGGCAGACUAGAGUGCGGUAGGGGAGAUUGGAAUUCCUGGUGUAGCGGUGGAAUGCGCAGAUAUCAGGAGGAACACCAGUGGCGAAGGCAGAUCUCUGGGCCGUAACUGACGCUGAGGAGCGAAAGCAUGGGGAGCGAACAGG
rnacentral:rRNA from 1 species